rnacentral:rRNA from 1 species
UACGAAGGGUGCAAGCGUUACUCGGAAUUACUGGGCGUAAAGCGUGCGUAGGUGGUGAGUUAAGUCUGUCGUGAAAGCCCCGGGCUCAACCUGGGAAUGGCGAUGGAUACUGGCUCGCUAGAGUGCGGUAGAGGAGAGUGGAAUUCCCGGUGUAGCAGUGAAAUGCGUAGAGAUCGGGAGGAACAUCAGUUGCGAAGGCGGUCUGCUGGGCCGUUGCUGACGCUGAGGCGCGACAGCGUGGGGAGCAAACAGG